GCUCAAGCAAUCCUCCCACCUCAGCCUCCUGAGUUGCUGGGACCACAGGUGCAUGCCACCAUGCUGGGCUAACUUUAUUAUUUUUUGUAGAGAUGGGGGGUCUUGGACUUCUGGGCUCAAGUGAUCUGCCUCGGCCUCCCACAGUGCAGGGAUUACAGGCACGCACCACCAUGCCCAGCCUCACACCAUGUUAAUUGUUUUAUCCAUCCUCAUCCAUACCCCACUUACCAUAGCAUGUACAAAAGGACAGAAAACAUAAACUCAUGCCUGGCAGAGAGCUUCUACUCUGAAGAAACAACAACCGAAGUGUCACAGGAUGAAUCUAUGCUAUUUGGAGAGGGAGUAUACAUUUAACUUGAAGCAAUCCCUGGAAGAAAAAUUCUACUAGCAGAGAUGCUCUGAGCAGAGAGAAAGCCUGUCUAUAUAGUGAAAGAAUGAAACCAAUACAUUGAAAAAAACUGAGAAGAGAAAGAGGUAGAGACUUCAUCUGAUACAAGCAUGCUUGAAACAAGAGACACCUGUAUGAUUCCAUCUUCCCAGGAGCUAGCAGGCAGUUCUUGUUGAGUUCAAGCCAGUUGAGACCAUCAACCCUUCAACUGAGCCUGCAUGGGUGCGUAAAGUGUGACCUUUUGAUGUCAAAGGGCCAAAACCUGCACCCUCCUUUCAUGCUAAUUCAACCAUUUUCUGAACAUGCAUCCUAUGAAGAGCCAUGUAGCUCAAUUAUGCUUGUGCAGAAACCCUGAUUACCUCACCUUUCCCACCUGCCAAUCACCUUUACCCAUACUUCACACCAUCCUGCUUUCUAUCCCGCUAAUUACCCCUAAGCCCUGUUUUCAGGGAGGUGGAUUUGCGAUUUGUUCUCCUUCUCCUUGCUCAGCAGCCUGGUAAGCAAUCUCACAAAAUAAAAUCUUUUCUUUUUUGCAAA
rnacentral:lncRNA from 1 species